ensembl:lncRNA
AGCAGGAGCCUCCAGGGAGCCCUCGCUGUAAGCCGGCCAUAACGAGGUGCCUGCCGUUAGCCCAGUCGAUAGCACAGAGCUUCUCCUGCUCUCCUCCAUCCCUCCACCCUGUCCCCAAAUAGUUCUGCACGGCAAAUGAAAACACACACUGGGAUGGCCCUGGGAGCACAGCAGUGGUGCCCCAGGGCAAGGAAUCACCGCAGACCCCUGGGGCUCACUGUGGAGGAGGAGAAGCCAGAAAACAGCACCAGAGCCAAUGAUUUGUGAAAGAGAUGGCAGCAGAGGGGCAGUCUGACACAAUGGCAUCUGACAUGGAAGUGCAGACGGAGCAAAGAUGUGGAACUGAAUUCCUCCAUGUGGAAAAAUUUGCACUCACUGACAUUCUCUGACACUUGCUGAAUGUUUAUGGAGACCAAACAUUGGAUUUUCCAUGGAAAUAAGUAGGAGGCAUUACUUUUGGAGUGACCUACGUAGCAUGGAAUUUCUGCUGGGAAUCAGGUCUUCAUCUCAGAGGAAUCCAGAGAAAUGUCAGACUCAGACUGGUCCCUGUCACUCACAACACAUCUCACGUGCAGUGUGUGCCCAGCGAUUAUAACAAGGCACUGAGCUGGCUCCAGAUCAAGAGAGAGACAGCCUUGCUUCGGUGGGCAGCACUGGAGCCCUGGGCAAACAGAAUGACUGCAGUGGCUCCUGAAGCUCACCUCCUGUCCUCAUUGCAGGGCUUUGAAAUAGAGAAAUUACACCAAGUUGCAGUCUCAGGCCUGGUGAGUGACGAGUACCAUAACCUCAACCCAAGGACCAGCACACUCACCGUGUCAAAGAAGGCACUCAAAAUACCUGAGAAAUAAAUUACAAUUACUAUCCUGUUUAACAAAGAUAUUUUUUCACUUCCCAAGUUGCUCUACCUUUUGUGGUUAUAACAGCAGAGCAAAGGUAAAACUUUGCAGGGUCUUCAUACUGAUGAAUCUACUUGCCAAGAUGCAGACUGACUGGAAAAGCUGCAAAAACUAGUUUUUUCCUUCUUUUUUUUCAGUGUCUUUUAUAAGUUUUCAUUUUUAUGGUUGAAGAAAAAAUAGUUUCAUGCCUCGUUAUCUCUCCCAUCUCCCUCUUAUUCAAACUUAUGAAACAUCCUCUCAAGCAAUCCCAGAAUUCAGUAGUGAUUUGAAAUCUUAUGAUAGCCACGAAUAAUUAAAAAUAUCCAUUCUGCCACUAUUCAGGAAUUUCAUCUAUUUUUUUUCCAAUAAGGACCGUGUAGGCAGAAACUGAAUAAUACAUAAAGUAAACAAAAGAGUCAAGGCUGAUUAGGGAAGCAGGCAUCAAGUUUCAUUUCCCAAGGACAUUACAUCUGUAAAAUUAGUAUCUCACAAAUAUUUUGAAAUGUCUUCAAACUGAGAAACUAAUAAAAUAAAUUGUCUUUUUU